AACGAACGCUGGCGGCAUGCCUAAAACAUGCAAGUGGAAGGGACCCUUCGGGCCAGGGGGCGCAGGGGGGGUUACGGGGGGGGAACUUGCCCUAAGGUUGGGAUUAAUUCCCGGAAGGGGGGCUUAAUACCGGUAAAUGCUUUCGGACCAAGGAUUUAUCGCCUUUGGAUGGGCCCGCGUUGGAUUAGCUAGUUGGUAGGGUAAAAGCCUACCAAGGCGACGAUCCAUAGCUGGUCUGAGAGGAUGAUCAGCCACACUGGGACUGAGACACGGCCCAGACUCCUACGGGAGGCAGCAGUGGGGAAUAUUGGACAAUGGGCGAAAGCCUGAUCCAGCAAUGCCGCGUGAGUGAUGAAGGCCUUAGGGUUGUAAAGCUCUUUUACCCGGGAUGAUAAUGACAGUACCGGGAGAAUAAGCUCCGGCUAACUCCGUG
rnacentral:rRNA from 1 species